rnacentral:rRNA from 1 species
CCCUUAGAUGUUCGGGGCCGCACGCGCGCUACACUGAAGGAAUCAGCACGUCUUUCUCCUUGUCCGAAAGGACUGGGUAACCCGCUGAACCUCCUUCGUGCUAGGGAUUGGGGCUUGUAAUUCUUCCCCGUGAACGAGGAAUUCCCAGUAAGCGCGAGUCAUAAGCUCGCGUUGAUUACGUCCCUGCCCUUUGUACACACCGCCCGUCGCUACUACCGAUUGGAUGGUUUAGUGAGAUCCUCGGAUUGGUCCCGGCGCGGCCUCUGGUCGUGCCGGAGUGCCGAAAAGAAUGUCGAACUUGAUCAUCUAGAGGAAGUAAAAGUCGUAACA